rnacentral:rRNA from 1 species
AGUGAACGCUGGCGGUAGGCCUAACACAUGCAAGUCGAACGGCAGCACAGUAAGAGCUUGCUCUUACGGGUGGCGAGUGGCGGACGGGUGCGGAAUACAUCGGAAUCUACUUUUUCGUGGGGGAUAACGUAGGGAAACUUACGCUAAUACCGCAUACGACCUACGGGUGAAAGCAGGGGAUCUUCGGCCCUUGCGCGAUUGAAUGAGCCGAUGUCGGAUUAGCUAGUUGGCGGGGUAAAGGCCCACCAAGGCGACGAUCCGUAGCUGGUCUGAGAGGAUGAUCAGCCACACUGGAACUGAGACACGGUCCAGACUCCUACGGGAGGCAGCAGUGGGGAAUAUUGGACAAUGGGCGCAAGCCUGAUCCAGCCAUACCGCGUGUGUGAAGAAGGCCUUCGGGUUGUAAAGCCCUUUUGUUGGGAAAGAAAAGCAGCAGGUUAAUACCCCGCUGUUCUGACGGUACCCAAAGAAUAAGCACCGGCUAACUUCGUG